CCUACGGGGUGCAGCAGUGGGGAAUAUUGGACAAUGGGGGGAACCCUGAUCCAGCCAUGCCGCGUGUGUGAAGAAGGCCCUCGGGUUGUAAAGCACUUUCAGUGAGGAAGAACGCCUGGUGGUUAAUACCCAUCAGGAAAGACAUCACUCACAGAAGAAGCACCGGCUAACUCCGUGCCAGCAGCCGCGGUAAUACGGAGGGUGCGAGCGUUAAUCGGAAUUACUGGGCGUAAAGCGCGCGUAGGUGGCUUGAUAAGCCGGUUGUGAAAGCCCCGGGCUCAACCUGGGAACGGCAUCCGGAACUGUCAAGCUAGAGUGCAGGAGAGGAAGGUAGAAUUCCCGGUGUAGCGGUGAAAUGCGUAGAGAUCGGGAGGAAUACCAGUGGCGAAGGCGGCCUUCUGGACUGACACUGACACUGAGGUGCGAAAGCGUGGGUAGCACACAGGAUUAGAUACCCCAGUAGUC
rnacentral:rRNA from 1 species